UACGUAGGGUGCGAGCGUUAAUCGGAAUUACUGGGCGUAAAGUGUGCGCAGGUGGCCGCGCAAGUCGAGUGUGAAAGCCCCGGGCUUAACUUGGGAAUUGCGCUCGAAACUACGUGGCUAGAGUGUGGCAGAGGAAGGUGGAAUUCCACGUGUAGCGGUGAAAUGCGUAGAGAUGUGGAGGAACACCAAUGGCGAAGGCAGCCUUCUGGGCCAACACUGACGCUCAUGCACGAAAGCGUGGGGAGCAAACAGG
rnacentral:rRNA from 1 species